CUCGGCCCGAUCUCCACCAAUCGCCACGCCCCCAAUCGCUCCCCAAUCCCCUCCUCUGCCCGUCUCCUCCCCAAUCCUCUCCCCUCGCGCCCGCAUCCCCGCCGCCGCACGCCUCUCUCCCUCUCCUUCUCUCCCCGCACCGCCCCUCUGCCUCCACACGCCCCUCUGCCUCCACCCCUCCUUUCCCCCUUGGCCUGAGCAGAAGGAGGCAGCAGGGCCUCCACCGCGCCCCUCCCUACUCGAGUCCAGCGAUGGAGGGCAUCUGGUGGCGACCACGACAGCCUCCUCGCCGCCCGUCGCUUGAUCUGCUCGUUCGGGCUCGUGGUGCUCACGGGGCAGACGGCGGCGGCCUCAACAGCGACCAUGGAGGAGCGGUGACACGCGGGGUGACCGAGCAGCUGUCGUUGGUGGCGGCCUCCUCCCUCGUCCCCUCCACCCUGCAGGUCUCUCGCCCAAACUCGCCGUCCCCGACCACGACCAUGGCAGGGAAGCUUCCUCUAAUCCCGAGCACCGCGUGCUACUCCUCCCUGACCAUGAGCACGGCGACGGCCGCCUGGGAACCAGGUGAGCAUCCUCGUCUCCUCCAUCUGCUCGUGAUGCCAUGGACCAAUAAGCUGCGCAGAGACAACUUUCAUGGAUAAAUAAGGACGGGAAUCAGAGGCUGGCAGGAAAGAAACAAUUCAAACAGCUUGUAUUUCAUCGGAACGGCAGAUCGCAGCGAGUUUAUGCUUCCUUGCCUCAAUGCCAUGCUCUGCUUUUAGGCUCAAACAGUUUUCGGAACACUUCAUGCCUUACAGGCUUAUUGAACUCAACUUGGCCCAUGGAUGGUUAAUGAUGCACCCGGAUUUCCUUGACGGGGUCUUCUUAUAGAUUGCGGAGCUCAACACAUUACAGCGGAACUGGGAAGACGACGAGGGCGGCAGACGGCUUCGCCGGGGGAGGCGACAACUGAUUGAAAAUGGACUAUCGUUAUGCUUCACUGUUAGUAAUAUUUUCUUCUCCAUUUUGAGCUGUACUACCUUCAUCCCAAGGCUUAAGCUAUAAUUGACAACCCAGGUUAGAAAUAACCAUCCAGAAGGACAACAAAUGUUUAGUGUAUUCAAUUUUAAUCUAAUUAUAUGCUAGAAAACACUGGCCAAGUGCAUUCUUUCUGAGCUUGCUCUGUUAAUUAGUCAAGAAUGCUAUUUUAAAGGUCAAGCUAAACACCGAACUCGCUGCCGUCGUUGGGAAGCACAAUAGAGGUUGCAGGAUGUUGCAGUGAUGCAUGCCAACUACCAGAGUUUGUCACCAAAAAGGUAACUCAUAUCUUUUGCAUUGAAUUUAUUUUGAAUUGCGCAGUACCGGCUGAUGGUAAGGAGACAAGACAUAGGCUGCAGGCUGUCGUGGUGCUCAUCUCGGUGGCAUUGAAUUUACUCGAAAAUGUGCAGCUGCAGACCUAUAGUAAUCAUGGUUAAAUAUAUUCUGAUUGGGUAGUUCAAAAUUUAGUAGUAGUAGCUGAUUGGAGCAAUGUAAAAGAAAGAUUCCCCUCAAUUCUGGCUCUUUUGGUAGAUAAAUGUUGAACCUUAGGUGUCAGUUUUCUUUCAUACAGUCAGCUUAUGUAUUUUUCAUGUGCGCUUUGAACCAUUGUUCAAGCUUGAGAUCUUUUUGUUGGUUCAAACGAGAUUGCUUUGCAGCUAUAUCUUCCCAUAUUUCUAUCUUAUACAUUGUUUAGAGAGCUAAUUUUACCGUUCCUGAUAAUACUGGAUUUUUUAUUAAUUGUGUGCUUAUGCUACCAUGCAGGUAUAGUAGCUUGGCACUGGCGCUUAUAUUUGUUUAGCUCACAAAUUAGUUAGGGAAUGAUGAGACGAAAUCCUUGGCCAAUAGAGCCCUAAUCUUACCGUUCACUACUUGGUCAACUUACUUCGUUGUAUGUCAGAUAAUAUACCUAAUAAGUUUUCAUAUUUUUAUUUUUUAUUAUUCUAUAGCAACCCCUUGUGAUUGGCUGGUUACAGGCUUUUUUCUAUACUUCUACUCCCAAAUAUCCUGGUGGGAACUCAAAUCUUUCAACACUGCCUUUUUGGUGCUGCAGAAAUGACUGUGUAUUCAAAGGAACCGAACCAAGUCUUUACAGAUAUGGGAGUAUCCUCGAGGAGUUGAUGCAUAAGGUCUCCUAGAGAGCGGAAAGAAGAGUGUAUGAUGACCUACAGGCCUGGAUUGCAAGAUAUAGGUAUCCUUUUGUAUUUAUGCAUCUCUACAUACUCCCCUACAUUUCCAAUACAGUUUAUUUGUCUCCCAUCUUGAGCUCCUGCCGGUAGGUCUGAGGUUGGUCGCUGGCCCAUGUCUCUGGUGCUUGAAGUUGCUGUUCAACGGAUGCGAGGCGUACCGCUCCAAAGCUGAUCUGUUCAUGCUCUUUGUUGCUUCUGCCUGCUAGAUUUAAUAUGUUUUCUGGUUUACUUCUGUAUCAAUUUCUCCUUUUUGCCACUAAAAGUGAGUCCUUAAAUUGGUGAACUGACUUAUCAAUUUCAGGUUAUUUAAACAGAAGAUGGAAACAUCCCCAAGGUCCCAACAGUACAGCCAGGGCAUGUGAGUUUAGUUUGGGUGAACUAAUACACUGGGAUCUUCAUUGUUUAGGAUGUAUUUUGCCAUCCUAUGAUGUGCUUUUGUCAUGCUGCAUCCGCAUCUAUGCCCUAUACAUAUUUGCUUGAUUAUUUGUUGAAAUAGAAUUAUGCUAGAUUUGGAUGAAGAAAACACUUCAUUUGUAGCCUGUGACAAAAGUAACCCCGAAGAAGAAAACUGCAAGGUUCUUUUAUUGUGCAAAUUGGUUUGCACGAUAGUGAUUUGUCACCAAUAGGAUGGACACUAAUUUAGAGUUUAGACGCUCAUGUAUGCACUACUUGCUAACCUUUCUAAGCAGCAUCAAAAAUAUUUUUUUGGUCGCAAUCCAAAGAUGUACAGCUAAAUACUCAGUUGUUACUUUACCAUAUAGUUUCUGUUAGUUUGAUCAUCCUAAAUGUAUUGUUCUGUGUAUGACAUAACUAAGUGGUUCACUAUUUCAGAAAAAUAAGCUUCAAAGGCCUCCAUUGUUGUUUUUGUUUAAUUUUUAUUUCAAGUUUUGUCAUGUGUAAGAUAUUACCUAUUCAUAUAGCCUUCAAACAUUUGCCAAUGCUGUUCUAAAGUAUAUAACCCAUAGGUCAUGUUUUGUACGAUGUUUCUAUUAUUCAUUUCAGCAACAUUUCCUGUUGGGUUGCUGCUUAUGCUGAAGUAUGUUUCCGCUGUCAUUGGGUCGCCGCAGCUGCUGGAGUAGGAGUACAGGUUGCCGGCCUCCAUCUUGGCAUAAGGUCUGUUAUCUUAGCAAUCCCUUGCUGUGUCUGGUUCUCGGUAGAACCAAAGCAUAUGGCCAAUAGAUGGAUUUACGAUGGGAUAAAAAUGGUUAAUUAGCUGGGUUUGCUAAGCUAUGUUUUGUUUCUUCUCUGUCCCUAUACUCCAUUGAAGGGAAAAAUUAGAGUUGGAAUUCUCUAAAAUAAUUCUGUAGGUGUUGUUUGUUUUGUACUUUUUAUAUAUGAAAAGAUGGACAUGUUGUGUAGUUUACAGUAGCAAUUGGAAAAUUAGUACGGGUGCAUGCCAACAUUGAGAGUUAAGGUUCAGAAGUGUUAGCCUGUUGAGUGUUGACUUCAAACAUCUUCUAUUAAGGUUCUCCUUGGGCUGUUUGGUGCAGUGAGUUUAGAAUUAAGUCUUUUAUUUCUACAAGCAUAAUUUCGAGGCACACCCUGAAUAAAAAUUGUAGACCAUGUUCCAGGCUUUCCAUAUAAUAUUUAUUUGUGCAAUUUGGUUGGACACAUUCAAAUAGCGCCCAGUUUAUUGAUCUGUCCAGAAUAUAGUUCUUCUAUAGACAGUAAACUUCAUUACAACUUUGGAUGGACACUUUUUACUUAGUCUUGGGCAUAGGAACGCUGCUAUUUUCUGAAUGUUAUGAAGUGGUGAUUUGAUAUAUGUUUGGAUAAGAGUUAUGGCUCCAUGGACAUGGUUUUUACAUGGUGUUUCUAUAAUCAUUCUAGCUAUUUUUUACUCAGUCAGAGAUGACACAAUUGUUUGUGGAAAUUUUGAUGUGAGAUAUCAGACAAUGUUUCCCAUAGAAAGAUUAAAUAUAUUUUUUCAUUAUGCUCGAUGGUGAAAAUUUUCAAAUAGAGGUUGACAGAAAUAUCAAAUAAUCAAUGGCUUGCAUGUAUAUUAUUACGUUCCCUUACAUAUCCUUUGUGAGAUAUAUUCUUGCUUUUCCAACCAGACUCUUUCGGAAAUUAAAAUACAUACCGACUGAUGGAUCAAUCGAAAAAAUGAUUUACUUUCUCGGACUACAACCAAGAAAGCACAUAGUUGUCGUUGAGAUUUCAUCCAGGGUCUUGAUCAUGGCAGCUUCCAGAUCAAUUGUACAACACUAUAGCCACGAAGUGUGAAGUGUGAAGUGACGGUGACCUACCUCUAUUGGUAUGUCAUAUACAUAUCUAUUGAAAAAGUCUGGCUAUGGGGAAAACACAUCCCUAUGUACACGCAUCAUGUUGUUGAAGAAGAUUUAUUAAAUUUGGGAGCAAAAUUAUAUUAUAUCAUUUUUACAUCGUUUCUCCUA